AUUGAACGCUGGCGGCAGGCCUAACACAUGCAAGUCGAGCGAGCGGCGGACGGGUGAGUAAUGUAUGGGGACUGCCCGAUAGAGGGGGAUAACUACUGGAAACGGUAGCUAAUACCGCAUACUAUCGGAUAACCCAUAUGGGAUUAGUUAGUAGGUGAGGUAAUGGCUCACCUAGGCGACGAUCCCUAGCUGGUCUGCGAGGAUGAUCAGCCACACUGGGACUGAGCAACGGCCCAAACUCCAACGGAGGCGGCAGUGGGGAAUAUUGCACAAUGGGCGCAAGCCUGAUGCAGCCAUGCGGCGUGUAUGAGGAUGGCCUUAGGGUUGUAAAGUCCUUUCAGUCAGGAGGCGUUCCCGACAGAAAAAGCGCCGGCUAACUCCGUGCCAGCAGCCGCGGUAAUAC
rnacentral:rRNA from 1 species